GUGAAGAUUACAAAUAAGCAGAUCAGCGGAAUAACCCCAUACCAACUGCUGAGUAUGCCUGAUGACAUCUGACCUCCAAACGCUUAAAACAGCAUUUCUAAAAUCAUUAACAGCACCACAAUGCCAGCCAAAUAAAACAAAAAUCCAACCAGUACUGCAAUUCGUGGGCUCCGCAAGAAUAAUUACUACAACACAGAAACCUAAAGAAACCUGUCCUGUAAUGAAAUACACAAGUAAAGUGUCAACUUGCACAUAAUUAAUCAGCAAAUACACCAUGCUGUAAAUGAAAAAUCAUGGCCGCUAGAACAAUUUUAUUAAUCAAACAGUGAAGCAAUUUACCCCGCCAAUUUUCUGCAGCACGACGAAUAAAAAUCUCCCAAUCACCAGCAUACCACAAACAAUAUCCCUUGGAUUGAAAAGCCUUUAAAACCUCAGAACAGAAGGCACAUUCAAAAAACAAAUGAUGAGCUGAGUCCCUAGCAUCUUCACAAAAACUAAAAAACACAUUUUGAUGAACCUGCCAGCUGUAAAGACGAUCUUGAGUGAGAACCUAUUUUCUGCAGCACGACGAAUAAAAAUCUCCCAAUCACCAGCAUACCACAAACAAUAUCCCUUGGAUUGAAAAGCCUUUAAAACCUCAGAACAGAAGGCACAUUCAAAAAACAAAUGAUGAGCUGAGUCCCUAGCAUCUUCACAAAAACUAAAAAACACAUUUUGAUGAACCUGCCAGCUGUAAAGACGAUCUUG
rnacentral:lncRNA from 1 species